CGGCAGGCCUAACACAUGCAAGUCGAGCGGGGAUAUAAUAGACUUAAUGUCUAAUAUAUUCUAGCGGCGGACGGGUGAGUAACGCGUGGGUAACCUGCCCUAUACACUGGGAUAACAUCGAGAAAUCGGUGCUAAUACCGGAUAAGCUAACAGUAAGGCAUCUUAUAGUUAGAAAAACUGAGGUGGUAUAGGAGGGGCCCGCGUCUGAUUAGCUAGUUGGUGAGGUAAGAGCUUACCAAGGCGACGAUCAGUAGCCGACCUGAGAGGGUGAUCGGCCGCAUUGGAACUGAGACACGGUCCAAACUCCUACGGGAGGCAGCAGUGGGGAAUAUUGCACAAUGGGGGGAACCCUGAUGCAGCAAACGCCGCGUGAAGGAAGAAGUAUUUCGGUAUGUAAACUUCUAUCGACAGGGAAGAAAGAAAUGACGGUACCUGAAUAAGAAGCACCGGCUAAAUACGUGCCAGCAGCCGCGGUAAUACGUAUGGUGCAAGCGUUAUCCGGAUUUACUGGGUGUAAAGGGUGAGUAGGCGGUUAGGUAAGUCAUAUGUGAAAUUCUGGGGCUCAACCCCAGAGCUGCAUAAGAAACUAUUUAACUAGAGUACAGGAGAGGUAAGCGGAAUUCCUAGUGUAGCGGUGAAAUGCGUAGAUAUUAGGAAGAACACCGGUGGCGAAGGCGGCUUACUGGACUGAAACUGACGCUGAGUCACGAAAGCGUGGGGAGCGAACAGGAUUAGAUACCCUGGUAGUCCACGCUGUAAACGAUGAGUGCUAGGUGUUGGGGAGAGAUUCUCGGUGCCGCAGCAAACGCAAUAAGCACUCCACCUGGGGAGUACGGCCGCAA
rnacentral:rRNA from 1 species